rnacentral:lncRNA from 1 species
AUGAAAUGAAAGAAUAGAUAGAAAUUACAUGCAAUGAGAUUAAAAAAGAAAGGUUCUUUUGUAAGUUCAAUUAGUAGAAGUGAGGUUUAUUUGAAAUCUUCAAUCAUACUUGUUCUUCCACUUUAGUUUAUUGUUCGAACGACUCAUAAAAUUUAAGUUUGUGUAUUCCCAGAGUAAUCACAACAACCAAGGCAGGAGGAGAAUGAGAGGUAGAACUUUUAGAGCUGAAAGAGAAGAUAAUAUUGGAAGAACAAUUUAUGUUUUUGACAUCGAUCACAAUGUAAGCGAAGAUUAAUGGGCUUGCAUAACUCUAUCAAUCUUUUACAAUCCAUAUUGAUACAAUUUACUUGCUUCGUAUAUUCAGCAGCUACGGACAAGUAAGUUCCUCAUUCUGAUUGUUGUUUGAUUAGUCUAUGCACAAUACAGAUAUCGAAACUCACUAAAGAUAUGAUAGAGGUGGAUGGAAGUUGUUGUUUGAUUGAGAUGUAAUUUAUCUUCUUCAUCUAAGAAGAGAUUAUUUGUGUAGAACACAAUUUGGAGAUGAAUAUGAUAUCAUAAUACUAUGGUCAUAUUGCUAAGUUUGGCAGACUACACUCUGAGGAGAUGGUCGUGGAGUUGUUCUGCAUCAAAUUAUAAUUAAAAGAAAAGGGAUUAGAUCGUAACAUGAGGGUUUGGGGAGGGCCAUGAGAGAAAAACGAUUACCCCUGACUUAUGGCUUCUUUGAUCAGUGUAAUUGUUUGAUUUCCUAAAAUGUACUUUGGCGUUAGUGAAAAAAAAUAUAUUCAUAUAUUCAUGGUUAAUGAAAAAAAAAAUAUAAUAACCAAAAUUCAUCGUAAUUCUUUGUAGGAAUAUUCAUAUAUCCUUCUUUAUUUUUUUAUACAUGGUGUUAAGUUCUUUUCCAAAUACUAGGUGGUUGAAUGCACGGUGGUUGGUUGAUGUUAAAAAUAAGUAUAUGUAAAUUUUCGAGAAAUUCAUCUUCCACACAUGCAUGUGCACACGUUUGUAGUCAUUUAUUCUUGUAAAGGUGCAUGAGGGUACUUUUAAAAAGAUUCAUAUCCUCAAAAAUUGCUAUUGAAUUACAUAAUAUUAUUGCAAAACGUUCUUGUUUUAACCUCAUCAACUCGGGGCAAUUUUUUAUGGUACAUUUCAGCCUUUCUUGCAGAGAAUUAGCAACUUUUUCAAUGAGCUUGAUCAUGGAUUUCACUUUGGCAUCCAUAUUUGUUCACGAAACACACAAUUUAUAUUUCCAUUUUUGAUAUCAUAGGCUCAAAACCAAGUGGAGAAAACAUGUGUUAUGCCAAAGUAACAGAGUUCAACAUGGGGAAGGUCAAUCAACAAAAGUAUGAUUUUGAUUUUUGUAUUAUGCAUGCUUUCUUUUGGAUUUUGCUCACAAUGUGACUCAGACUUCCACAUGAAAGCAACAAGCAGCAUAACAUCCACCAAAGUUAAGUGAAGCUUAAGUGAGCAAUUGGGAUGCACCCCAAGAGAAGCUUACAGCCUUUAUUUUUGAGUUCGAUCGGGUUAUCAUGAAUAUAAAAAGUUACCUAAUUAUGGUUAAUGGCUUGGCAAAUAACUACGUGAAUCCAGAAAUUCUUAUCUAUUGCUUUAAUUGUAUAUAAGCAAAGAAGUCAACAGUUAUUAUGGGUCAAAUUUAUAGUCCCCAACUCCAAGAGCUAUAAGAAAAUACGCAAAGCAAAUCCACAGAGUUUUAGUAGUUCAACCUGAGUUUGAGAUUUGAAUUACCUUCAAUGUAAGAGAGUU